rnacentral:rRNA from 1 species
CGGACGGGUGAGUAACACGUGGAUAACCUACCUAUAAGACUGGGAUAACUUCGGGAAACCGGAGCCAAUACCGGAUAAUAUAUUGAACCGCAUGGUUCAAUAGUGAAAGACGGUUUUGCUGUCACUUAUAGAUGGAUCCGCGCCGCAUUAGCUAGUUGGUAAGGUAACGGCUUACCAAGGCAACGAUGCGUAGCCGACCUGAGAGGGUGAUCGGCCACACUGGAACUGAGACACGGUCCAG